UGGAGCAUGUGGUUUAAUUCGAUGCAACGCGAAGAACCUUACCUACUCUUGACAUCCAGAGAAUUUGCUAGAGAUAGCUUAGUGCCUUCGGGAACUCUGAGACAGGUGCUGCAUGGCUGUCGUCAGCUCGUGUUGUGAAAUGUUGGGUUAAGUCCCGCAACGAGCGCAACCCUUAUCCUUUGUUGCCAGCGAGUAAUGUCGGGAACUCAAAGGAGACUGCCGGUGAUAAACCGGAGGAAGGUGGGAUGACGUCAAGUCAUCAUGGCCCUUACGAGUAGGGCUACACACGUGCUACAAUGGCAUAUACAAAGAGAAGCGAACUCGCGAGAGCAAGCGGACCUCAUAAAGUAUGUCGUAGUCCGGAUUGGAGUCUGCAACUCGACUCCAUGAAGUCGGAAUCGCUAGUAAUCGUAGAUCAGAAUGCUACGGUGAAUACGUUCCCGGGCCUU
rnacentral:rRNA from 1 species